rnacentral:rRNA from 1 species
GAUGAACGCUAGCUACAGGCUUAACACAUGCAAGUCGAGGGGCAGCAUGAACAAAGCUUGCUUUGUUUGAUGGCGACCGGCGCACGGGUGCGUAACACGUAUCCAAUCUGCCCGCGGCUCGGGGAUAGCCCCUCGAAAGAUGGAUUAAUACCCGAUGGCGUGGUUUCUCCGCAUGGAGUUUCCACUAAAGGUUUUCCGGCCGCGGAUGAGGAUGCGUAUGAUUAGGUAGUAGGCGGGGUAACGGCCCACCUAGCCUUCGAUCAUUAGGGGUUCUGAGAGGAAGGUCCCCCACACUGGAACUGAGACACGGUCCAGACUCCUACGGGAGGCAGCAGUGAGGAAUAUUGGUCAAUGGGCGAGAGCCUGAACCAGCCAAGUAGCGUGAAGGAAGACUGCCCUAUGGGUUGUAAACUUCUUUUGUUCGGGAAUAAAGUGCAGUAUGUAUACUGUUUUGUAUGUACCGUUCGAAUAAGCAUCGGCUAAUUCCGUGCCAGCAGCCGCCGUAACAC